UUUUGUUCAAACAUCAAAUACUCUUGGAACCUUUGGCCAUUUGAUGUGUUUUGAAAAAGCUUACAUAACUUCUUUUAGCUCCACUUUUCUCUAAUUUUUUCCUUCUCUAAAAAGAGUCUCACCACUCUAUUCCAAGCCUUCAGAAUAGCUAGGAAGAUCUCUUGGUGGUCCUUCAUUGGAGCUAUUUGAAGAUUUUUGAAAAGCUACAAAGGAUCUGCAACAACUCGAUGAUCAGGGACCUACAAAAUCAGAUUAGUCUAAACCGGUGCGACCUUAGUCACAUGGGCUCCGAUGCCAAAGUCAGCUCAAUUAACGAAGCAACUUAGUGUGAAGUAGCUAGUCUCGUUUUUGCCUACCUCUAGGGUUUGCUUUCCUCUUUACUUAUAGUCGUUCGAGCUUUUCUAGGAUUUCUUCACCACGUGGCUUGUAACAGAUGGCGGAGGAAAGAAGGCUUGUAACAGAUGACGGAGGGAAUAGGGAGCGUCGGGCUUGGCCCAUGGGCCGAACCAGACUCGGCCUGGCCCAAUUUGGGACCAUUUGGGAGUGGAAA